AGAAGGGCUUGUAAACGGCCGCGCCUCGUUUCUAUCCUGCAGCGUCUCCUCGGCCUUUUUUUUUUUAAAAAAAAAAUAUAUGAUAGAGAGAGCUUUCUCUCUGGGCUGCCACUGCUGGAUGAGGGGAAAAAGUUAGAUGGCAAUUUAAUUUUCCCUGGGUCACGUAGACAGGAGACCGAACCCUUGUGAGGUUUGAAUCGAUGCAGCACAUUCCGGAUCCUGAUAGGUAGAUCUGGACUUCACAGCUCCUUAUGCGCAGUUCAGAUGUCUCCUCAGUACGGAACGAUCUGCCUCCGAUGCAGCUCUGAGGGUGUGAGUGUGUGUGUGUGUGUGUGUAUUUGCGUAUCUGCAUGUGUGAGUGCGUGAGUGUGAGUCAAUCAUGUACGUUUCGAGAGUGCCACAGAAAACGAGGGGCAACUUUCUCAAAUCUCGGGGACCUGAGGCUGUCUACAGUUCCAUUUGCAUUCGCAUUUGGUGCUGAAGCAAAAGGAAGGGAUCGACGCUCUCCAAAGCCUUCUUCGAAACUUCUGCGUUGGGGAUUCGGUGUCUCCCUGGAAAAAGGAUUAGACCACAAAGGAAACUGAAAUAUUGGGAAAAAAAAAAGGUGCCCCAGGGCAGAGAUCCACCCAAGAGAAAAGUCAAAAGCAGUCUUUGAACUGAAACAGCAAAAGAUGAAUGGGUCUGUUUGGUUGGGUCAUGUCUGGGAAAAAUGGUUUCCUGGCAUCUAUAGAAGAUCUUAUCUGAUGAGAUGAAGAAGAGGUUCUCCUCAAAGCAUCAGACAAAAGAAAAAUCAUGACUUGGAGGAUCAACUGUCAGUGGUCUCAUUAGCAGAAAAGGUGAUGUAACUUUACAGCUAAAAUUGGAACAGUUUAGAUCUCAGAAACCAAAUUGUAAGGCAAUUUUCACCUAUAUUUUUGGAGCCUUUUUAGUUGGGAUUUUUUCUUCUUUCAAUUGCAAAUAUAGAUCAGUCUGCUAAACUAAAGACACAAAACUCUAAAGUUGUGAUUUUUCAUUACCCUACCAAUCUCAUGUCCUCAGUACACUUUGUGAUUUUGAUCAAUUUUCACAAUCUCAAAUGCUGGUCAAAGUUCAUUCGUUCAUUCAUUCAUUCAAUCAUAUUUAUUGAGUGCUUACUGUGUGCAG